GAUGCUAAAAUGAGAGAGACGAAGCCAGAGGAAACUCUGGCGGAAGUCCAAAGCGCCUCUGACAUGCAAAUCGACCGGGUGUAGGGGCGAAAGACCAAUCGGACCGUCUAGUAG
rnacentral:ncRNA from 1 species